GAUAUCAACAUAUCUGUCGGUGUGAUUUUUGUGGAGUUUACCGCGCGCCAUACGUGAUAUCUUAAUUUUUCGCCUAUGACGUCAUUUGUGAAUUACACAAGCGUCACCGCUCAGUCUGUUGUGGAAAAUUUCGUCGAAUAUAUGGCAGCGUCGAGCGAACACUGUUUUUCCUAAUAAACACCGAAAACAAUCUCGAUAUCGGAGUGCAUCGUGUUCACUAGCGGAUACCCUGUUAACCACGAUAUUAUCGUCAAGGAAUCCUUGUUCGGACUGAAAAUAUAGUUACAGUGUUUGGAAGUUAUUCGACUAUUUGCUGUGAUGUCGAUGCAACAGUUCUGUUUGCGGUGGAACAAUCAUCAACCAAAUUUCAUUUCGGUGUUUUCGAAUUUGUUGAACAAUGAGACUUUGGUGGAUGUGACAUUAGCUGCUGAAGGCAGACACCUUCAGGCACACAAAGUUGUUUUGUCUGCAUGCAGCACAUAUUUUCAGUCAUUGUUUACUGUGAAUCCGUGUCAACAUCCAAUUGUCAUAUUAAAGGAUGUAAAAUUCUCUGACUUAAAAAUCAUGGUUGACUUUAUGUACUACGGUGAAGUAAACAUAUCACAGGAUCAGUUACCAUCUAUCAUAAAGACCGCAGAGAGUUUAAAAAUAAAAGGACUUGCAGAAAUGCACACUGCUUCUUUAACCAAGUGGCCAAGUGGUAGUAGUGAACCUGGAGGAGGAGAUCGUGGGGAAUCUUGUUCACCUAGCCCUUCUCCAUUAUCACCAUCCUUUCGUAGAAAGAGAUUAAGGAAAUCAUCGACAGGAUCAACAUCUGGAUCUGGUGAGAAACCAGAAGAAAUGAAUGAAAUCACUUUAGUUGCCACUAAUAUUGUAAAACCAGAACCGUUGAUAGUUUCACAAGAAGGUAGCGAAAGUCUAAGAAGACCUGUUAAUACUAGUACUGAAUCUCAAGGAAGUAUCGAUGAAGAUCAAAUAUCGAUCAUGAGUAACAUGGAGAAUAGUUCGGCAACAACUCCUGCACAAAGUGAUGGCUCAAUACAAGAUGUGAGUCAACAGUCAGGAGGAAAUGUUGCACAGAGUACAGUUUCUUCACAACCACCCGCACAUCAAGGAUUGCAAUGGACUAUUAUGGAGCAUACAUAUCCACGUUUCGCUCUGUCCUCGUGUCAAACGAAUCUGUCGAUCCAAGCGUCAUCAGCUUUUACCACGCCCGAAAUAACAGCUUCUUCGACCAUCAGCGAUCAGUACUCUGGUACCAGCACGACUGGUUCCAGUUGCGCCCUGACGAAUUAUCCGAACUCCUCGCACGGGACAUUGCAGCACGCAUCGUCGAGCGGCCCAUCACCGUCGGCACAGUGCCCGAGUAACUGCCAGAGUCCUUGCGCCAGUCCGCAGACCGCAAUUAAAAGGAAACGAUCGACAAAUCCGCAGGCAGACGAGAAUUUUAUCAGGGCGUUAGAUGCUGUUCGAUACGGCGGUAUAGGGUUUUGUAAAGCAGCCAGGAUGUUCGGCGUGAACAAUCGAACACUUUGGCUGGAAUACAAAAAGCGUGGUUACCCAAACAAUCGACCGAGCUUGAAAUCGAGGGUCAAGCAAGAAGUGAAUUCCUCACCACCGCCAGCUCCGUCGGCGCAGCCGGUUAAUUCGCAGAGUCCUACGCCCAUGGGCCCUCCCACCACCCCACACAGUACACACAAUACCCACAGCACGCAUACCAUGCUAACCACUCAUAGUCCUCAUACGAUGUUAAGUGGUUACAUCGAUAGCAGGCAUACGGAUUACGCAUUGCCCAGCACUACAAUGCCAAUCAAUUUACACGGCGUUAACUACAACGCGAUGUGAGCCACUGGCUAUGACACGCCGAUACCAACGGUCACUUGUAUAGACGAGCUUGAAAAGUAUUAAAUACCGAACAAGCGUGUGGAGGAAGAAUUUUAGAUCGGCAAUACUCAUCCGAAAGAGAAUUCUCUCGUUAAAUGAAGAGAAACGAUACAAUUUUAGAUACUUUCUUUGCCUAGUUCAUAUGUAUCUAUAAAAGUGCUUUUCGACUAACGCAAUGAUCUCGAACAACUGGAAACGUCAGUAUAUCAUAGUUUAUACACUACAGAUUUUUUAUAUUAUGGAUAAAUGUAUAUUAUAAUGGAAAAUGUCGUCGCUGGAGCUCGUUGACUUGUAAUUCUUAACGAUUGUACAUAUUUCUUUCCUGGCUAGUUCAAUCUUAGAAAGAAGCGAAAAUUUUGUCACUGUUUUGAAAAAACAGGAUCGUGUAAGAGUUAAAUAAAUAAUUUCAUCAGAUACUCGUUGGAAUCAAUUAGAAUAAUAAAUUUUGAGUGAACGAGCUCAGAGUGGACGACGGCAACUCUUCCUUGUCGAGAACCGGAAGUUCCGGCGAAGGGUAAAGAAAAAAGAAAACAAAUUCUGGAACAGGUUCCUUUAGUUUAAAUCGUAUCUUUUGAAAUUUGAAUUACACACGAAUGUGAUAGAGCAGGAACGACCAUAUGCUGAAAGCAUAUACUUGCUAGUUUGUAAUUUCAGAUAUUUAUGGGCGAACUAUUGAACAUUUUUUAAUUUCACGUUUUUAUCGAUGCACGAUCGGUCUUCACACGAAUAUCGAUAUAAUCUAAAGUUGGUGGAAUAAUCUUACGCAGACACGUCGGAAUUAUUUCGCUUUUUAUCAACUUUAGCCUGUACCAUGCCGCGACAUUUUUGUACAUAGUGAAUAAAAGUAGCGAUAGUGAAACAUAGAUCAAGAAUAUAUUAUGUGUAUUUGCACAUAAAAAAACACGUAGCUAAUACAUCCUACGGAAUUAACGACUUAUCUACGAGCGAGAAGUGAAACGCAAUGCGUCGUCAAUACAUGUAUUACAAUUAAUUUGCAAUCGUCGAAGAAAAGCAUACAUUUUCUGACGGAUCAUAAUUAUCUGUAAAGAAUGUCAAAACUCGUUUAUAUUUUUUGUAACGAGUAUAAUAGCUUUUGUGAGGGUUGCACUGUUUAAAGGAAUUUGUUCAAAAUUUUCGACGGAUUAUUCCGCGUAAAAAAUUCUAUUAUACAGGGUGUUUCAUAAAAUACAUAAUUGUAAGGUUAAUUCAAUUAUGAAGUGAAGAAAAUGUCUGUGAAUCCUGGUGAUUCAAUCGAAAAAGUAGUUUACCGCUGUAUCUGCGAUAUCAUGUAACAUUUAAUUCAAAUAUAAUUCUCGUUGUUUUUGCAAUACUGUAAUGUCACGAUAAUUGCCAGAAAAUCAGGUGACACAGCCUGCAAUUAUCGUUUAUUUACGGGACUUGAUCCUAAGUAUAGAUACGGAUGCGUUGUUUUGUCGAAUGUAGAGGGCUAUAAUACGAGUAACAGAAGAAGAAAGGAAAAAGAAAGAAACAUAUCUAUUGGUUUAUGUUACACAAUACUAGCGCAACGAUGAAAUAUUUUUAUCUUUAAUUUUUUAUGAAUAAAACCUUUAUCAAUUGUCGGGUUUUUCUCACUGAAAUAAGAUCAAACACGAUACUUGAAACUUGAAACAUAUUUAUUUAUUUAAUGGCAUUAACUUAUAUUUUUUCGCAUAUUAAAUACCUAUAUAAAACGGAUUUUAAAUAUAUCGUAUAUCUUUUCUUUAUCAAAAAAAAUCUUAUAAAUACGUUAGUAAAAAUUCGAUUUUUAAAAAAUCAGAAAUUAACAAUUGUCAUUGUUAAAUUAGUAUUGUCUCGUGGAUAUUUGAAUUCGGAUCAAGUCACACUAUACUUAGUCGUCGAACUUAGCGGUAUGUGUCAAAGAGAACGCCAGGACCUGUUGAGGAGGGUUAUCGGCCCCAGUGGUGGGGAUGACUUUCGUGCAAUUGGGAGGAACAUCGCGUCUGGUAAUCAUUAAAAUAUUACUGUAUAUCGAAUGAGAUAUUUUAUAGCACACCCUGUACAUAGAGGCAGCAGGCUACAGGGUAUAGUAGCACGAUUACUAGCGUGCAGGAUCACUUUAGUACAAAUACUGUGAAGUUCUUGUACUGUCUUUCGUUUUGACCGAAAUUCAGGUAAUUUUUUAACGUAUUCGAAUUGUUCUUCGAUAUUUACGAGGGAUUAAAUGUACAAUUUAAUUUUUUCCAAUUUCAUCAAAAUUUAUCGCAAUUUUCAUUGAUGAAUUAUCUGUUCUUUAAAAUUAUGUAAUUAAUAUCAAUAUGUAUAUUAUUUAUAUGUAUAGUUCCGAUUGAUUUAGGAUGUUGUAGCCUAUAAGUGCUAAUUAAGUGCAAUAUCCGCGGGAACAAACGUUUUCCUGAUUAACUCGUCGAUCUGUUAACGUACAAUUACAUGUAUAACCUAAAGAGCAAAAGAAAAGAGUAAGGGAAUACGACAAAGUAAUGCAUGUAUUGAAAAAUAGAUGUGUACGAUGUGACAACUUAUCAUUGAUGGUUCGAGAAUUUCUUCAAUUUUCUUGGAGAAAUGAUUUUAGUUAAUGCUAAUAUUUGAUUUUCUAAUUCCUUUUACUACGAAAACUUACGAUAUUUCUCAAAAUAGAUAAAGAUUAAAGUUUCUCGACAAAAUUAAUUGUAUAAUAAUUUUCCUCAUUUUAUGUUUAAAUAGGAAGAGAGAAUGAUCUAUAAGUGUUCCGUUGAAGCGAGAAAAUAUUAUAUUACGACGCUAGAAUUAAAACGAAUACUAUCUUCUUGUUUAGCAUUUAAAUAGACGCAAAUGAAUUUUAACGACAAUGUAAAUAACAUAAUUUUUUUGUUUAUUUGUACGAACGAGUACUGUCACUCAUUUUUGCGUACUUGGCAUUUAAUGGAGUUGGAGAUUCACGUUUUUAACUCGUACAUGAACUAAAUAACGAAAGAUUUGCAAAAGAUUUGCAAAUUUUUGUUCCUCUGUCUUCGUUUCUAUAAAUUAGGCUAAUAAUGAAAAUAUCAAUUCAUAAAGUAAUUGCAUUGUAAAAUAGUUGAAUUGUAAAAUGUACGUAGGAAUCGGAAUUCUUCUCCCAAAUUUUUACAUCGAUGAUAUGAAAUUUCAAUGAAAUCCUUUUAUUAGAAAAUAAUUGACUACUCGAGAUAACCGACUAAUCAUUUCUAGCGAAAAUCGAGCGCGUUUCGCUGUUUCCUGUUUUCGUUCCGAACGUCUGUACAAAACGAUAGAUGAAUAUAGAAUGUUAAAGAAAUGUUGAUCGUAAUGUACACUAUCUUAAACAUUGAUACUUCGUAAAAAAAAAAAAAAAGGGAAAACAGAAUAAAUAAGUGAGGUGUAAAAAAAAAGGAACUAGUUUAAAAUCGGUACCGAAUUUUAUAUGCAGAGAGGGUCGAGUUUUGAUGUGUCAAUGUUAUUGUAUAACGCCUUUAAUAAAUCACACGUGAAGGAAGAAUGAAUUAAAAGUUGUUUCUGGCCAGGCUUACGACUCUGUUCACUAGUCUGUAAGCAGGUAGGCCCGAAGAGGUGUCGUCUGUUGCGUCAGCCCCGGGUGAAGAAGGAGUCGAAUCAUUUGUCG